rnacentral:rRNA from 1 species
AGAACGAACGCUGGCGGCAGGCUUAACACAUGCAAGUCGAACGGGUGUCGCAAGACAUCAGUGGCAGACGGGUGAGUAACACGUGGGAACCUUCCUAGGGGUACGGAACAACUCAGGGAAACUUGAGCUAAUACCGUAUACGUCCGUAAGGAGAAAGAUUCAUCGCCCCUAGACGGGCCCGCGUCGGAUUAGGUAGUUGGUGGGGUAACGGCCUACCAAGCCGACGAUCCGUAGCUGAUCUGAGAGGAUGAUCAGCCACACUGGGACUGAGACACGGCCCAGACUCCUACGGGAGGCAGCAGUGGGGAAUCUUGGACAAUGGGCGCAAGCCUGAUCCAGCCAUGCCGCGUGAGUGAAGAAGGCCUUAGGGUGUAAAGCUCUUUACCAGGGACGAUAAUGACGGUACCUGGAGAAUAAGCCCGGCAAACUUCGUGCCAGCAGCCGC